GAUGAACGCUGGCGGCGUGCCUAGUACAUGCAAGUCGAGCGAACAGACGAGGAGCUUGCUCCUCUGACGUUAGCGGCGGACGGGUGAGUAACACGUGGAUAACCUACCUAUAAGACUGGGAUAACUUCGGGAAACCGGCGCUAAUACCGGAUAAUAUAUUGAACCGCAUGGUUCAAUAGUGAAAGACGGUUUUGCUGUCACUUAUAGAUGGAUCCGCGCCGCAUUAGCUAGUUGGUGAGGUACCGGCUUACCAAGGCGACGGUGCGUAGCCGACCUGAGAGGGUGAGACGCCACACUGAGACCGAGGUGCGGCACCGGCUGGGAAGGGACGCAGCAGGGGGGAAUCUUGCACAAGGGGCGGAAGGCGGAUGAAGAAAGGCCGCGUGCGGGAAAACGGUCUUUGGGUGGUAAAACAAAUUUGUAAGUAACGAAGCGUGUGUGAAGGGAACCUAUAAAGAAGGCCCGGGUAACUACGGG
rnacentral:rRNA from 1 species